rnacentral:rRNA from 1 species
GACGAACGCUGGCGGCGUGCUUAACACAUGCAAGUCGAGCGGUAAGGCCCUUUCGGGGGUACACGAGCGGCGAACGGGUGAGUAACACGUGGGUGACCUGCCUUUAGCUCUGGGAUAAGCCUGGGAAACCGGGUCUAAUACCGGAUAUGACUCCGCGGCGCAUGUUGUGGGGUGGAAAGCCUUGUGCGGCUGGAGAUGGGCCCGCGGCCUAUCAGCUUGUUGGUGGGGUGAUGGCCUACCAAGGCGACGACGGGUAGCCGGCCUGAGAGGGCGACCGGCCACACUGGGACUGAGACACGGCCCAGACUCCUACGGGAGGCAGCAGUGGGGAAUCUUGCGCAAUGGGCGAAAGCCUGACGCAGCGACGCCGCGUGAGGGAU